CCCAAAUGGCCCUGCUCCUCACUCUGUCACUAAGAGAGACCACCCGACACCAUUUGUAGGAAGCUCAUUUCAGCUGCCAAUUAUUCCUCCAAGUAGCAGUUUUUAAAUGCUGCUUAGAUAUCAUUAUUAGCGUUAAUGAUACUCAUCCAGUAAUUGAACUGGACUUGUCUUUUGUUCCAGUAAAGACAUACAGUAACAACAUAAAAGUGAUCGUUCAUCCAAAUAAAGCAGAAGAAAUCAGAAGCUACAUUUAGGCAUUUUUGUUUGUUUGUUUGUUUGGUUGGUUGUGCUUUUUCCAUAGUUUCACACAUAAUUUUUAAGAAGUCAUUAAUUUAAUUCAGUAUUACAAUGGACAGUUUUGUUUUGGCACAAAUACAAACCUGUUUAUAUAGAAAAAUCAUGUCCUUAAUUACUCUUACGAGUGGAUGUCUAUGCUAUUUCAGACUGGAUGACCCAUAUAGAGUGAGAUGAUCUUUGGUAUUUUGCUGGCACGGAGUAAAAAUCUAGAAAUUAAUACAAAGUUAUUUUAACUGAUCACUUUUAUCCUAUAAGACAUUUCUGUCCUGUUUGGAGUUGUCAGUUUUAUACAGUUUUCAAAGAUUCAGUUCAAAACUUCAGAUCCUUCACUAGAUAUGUGUUUACCUUUCUCCAUAUAUGCUCAUUCAUGCACGUCAGGCAGAAAAAUUCUGUUGCUUUCAAAUUAAAACCUUUGAUUUUAAAACCACUUACUGUGGACUGCAAGAUUGUGUACUGAGUUUACUAAGAGGUACAUUGAUGUAACAGACUUCCUACAGAUCCUUUUCAAUCCCAGUGUCAAGUGACAUGGUUUUCAAGGUUUGUAACAGCUUUACAUCAUAGCAAACCUUAGGUUUCAUAUGAUGAACUGUCAGCAACUAAAAGAGAGACCAAAAAUAAAAACAAGCAAAAAUAAAUAAAUAAAACCAAAAUAACAUGGGAACAGUGAAAGAAAAGGAAAAACAAAGAAAAUAAUGAACUAUUAAAACACAGACUUUGACAAAAUUUCAUAAUUUCCUCACCUUUAAUGGUUGUUUUGACAUAGUUUGUUUUCUGCUUUGUGUUCUAACAUGUAUAAAUUUGUCUAAAUAUGUUUUACAGAUGUGAAAUAAUGUGAAUUAAAGUAAAAGCAAAAAACAAAAAACUGGCCAAUCUCUCCCAUUUAAAGGGACAUUUAGCAGAGAUUAAAAGUACUAAACUACCAGUUCACAAACACAUCAAACAGAACAUCCAGGACUCUCGCAACUCGAUGUGCCAUCUUGUUUUCAAAUAAGCUGUUGAGGGCACUGAGCCCGUCUGAGGGAGGGAGGUUGUCGGGGCAGAUUUCUGUGUAUGCAAAGAAUACAAAUAAAACAAACAGCUUUUAUGACAUAAUAGUGACACAGUAUGUUAAGAAAUGUGCUGAAACUCACCGUUGUUUGGGUCCAUCAUAAUGGGUGAUGACAUCUGGAGACAUUCUGCUUGUUUCUUUAACCUCUCCACAACGUCGGGAGAGACAUUCGUUUUCCUGCCUGGAAAUAAAGAACAAAAAGAGGGAAAAAAACAGGUAACUAAAAGUUUUUCUACAGAUUUUCAUGCUUCAAAAAAACUAUAGUAUGAAGAAAAAAGUGUUCUGGAUUCACAUAUGGUAUUAGUGGGAUAUGUGUUUCUUACUGAAUAGAAGAAGGCUGGUAAAAGUAUCUUUCCCAGAGAUGACUUCUUCAUAAGCAAGCAGACAGUCAGAGCAGCCAGUUGGCAGGAAGACAUCCUUUAGGUAAAAAGGCUCCUCUGUAUGAAACAAACAACAACAAAAACAGUUUCUUGAAAUUGGAAAUCACAAGAAACUACGUGAUUGCAGGUUUCCUCUGCAUGUGUGCCUCUGUGGCCAUUCUUUACUCACUGAUUAACAUUGCGCUGUUUUCAAAGAUCACAUUAUACGUCAUGCUCGAACAGUCACCAUUUCUGUGAGGAAGAAAAUAAAAGCAUCAGAACUUGAUGUCAAGAUAAACAUAGCAAAAUAAAGAAAAUAAAUAUGUAUAAAUGACUUCAGCUAUUGUGUUAAAAUUGCUUAAGGGAGCAUUUACAUUCUCUGAGUCUGCAGGAUAUUGAGGACGUUACUGUUGGCAGUUGUAGUAAGAUUCAACCAGACGCUGGUCAGCAGGAAGCCAAAGGAACGGCUUCCCGGGAGGUCAGAGCUUCCCCCAACGUAUAUCCAUUUUCCCAAUCUCUUCCGUGCUGACAGUUAUUGGGUUAAUCAGAGUGUCACAGCUGCUCACAGGAGCUGAGCGUCCCACCGAGAGCAGACUCAGCAACAAAACAACACACUUCAUCUUUUAAAUGUCUCCUUUCUCCUUUUCAAGAUUUCCUCCUUCUUCUUUUGUUACUGCCUCCCUGUUUGCCUCCAAGCUCUAUUUUGACUUCACAGCCUCACAGAUUUCUCUGGAUGCAGCAUUUAUUCACUUGUGCUGUGAACCUUUGCAGCAAAGGCAAACAGCAGGGGAUGAUCGAAGGAAGA
ensembl:lncRNA